CCUACGGGAGGCAGCAAUGAGGCAUAUUGGUCAAUGGGCGGGAGCCUGAACCAGCCAAGUCGCGUGAGGGAAGAAGGUACUGAGUAUUGUAAACCUCUUUUGCCAGGGGACAAAGGCGGCCACGGGUGGCCGGAAGCGGGUACCUGGAGAAAAAGCAUCGGCUAACUCCGUGCCAGCAGCCGCAGUAAUACGGGGGAUGCGCGCGGUAUCCGGAUUUAUUGGGUUAAAAGGGUGCGCAGGCGGCGUGUCAAGUCAGCGGUAAAAUGUCGGGGCUCAACCCCGGCCGGCCGUUGAAACUGGCUGGCUCGAGUUGGAGAGAAGUAUGCGGAAUUCGUGGUGUAGCGGUGAAAUGCAUAGAUAUCACGAAGAACCCCGAUUGCGAAGGCAGCAUACCGGCUCCACACUGACGCUGAGGCACGAAAGCGUGGGUAUCGAACAGGAUUAGAUACCCCAGUAGUC
rnacentral:rRNA from 1 species